rnacentral:rRNA from 1 species
UACGGGGGGGGCAAGCGUUGUUCGGAAUUACUGGGCGUAAAGGGCUCGUAGGCGGCCAACUAAGUCGAACGUGAAAUCCCCGGGCUCAACCCGGGAACUGCGUCCGAUACUGGUGGGCUUGAAUUCGGGAGAGGGAUGUGGAAUUCCAGGUGUAGCGGUGAAAUGCGUAGAUAUCUGGAGGAACACCGGUGGCGAAGGCGGCAUCCUGGACCGAUAUUGACGCUGAUGCGCGAAAGCCAGGGGAGCAAACGGG